AUUGUCAAUUGUAAUUGAAGUCCGAGCUAGAAAGAGAAAAAGUAUUGUAACAUGUGUUGUCAAUUUGUUUACUUUAAACUUCAGGUGCUAAAUGAAAUGUCAGUGGCAGUCAACUGUGAGGAAGCCAAGAAACCUGUCUGCAAAAACAAGAACAGAUUCCCCAAUGUACUUCCAUGUACAGGCUGAUUGGUCCAUUGCUGAGAUGAAUGAUGAGAUUAGAGAGAUCAAGCCACGCCUACCUCUACACAUCACAGACUGAUAAACAGGAUUUCAUUCACAAGCUGGUAGUGCAUGAGAUCCGUGUCUCGUGGACAAGGUUCAACAGAGAUGCGGUGCUUGGACUCUAUGACACCUACAACAAGUCACAGUUGAGCUAGAGAACAGCCAAGUCAUGCUGAAAGGCUGCAAAGCAUCAAGCUGUGUCAUAUCGUCUGCACGUCUAGUGCCCAGAUCAUGCAGUGUUCCCACUUACCACUGCUGCCUGGAGGGAAGGUCGCCUGACUAAGAAGACCAGCUGGGUGGGCAAGCUGGAUGGACUGCA